CUGCUUGACUAGCUGAGAGGAGGUGCAUGGCCGUCGUCAGUUCGUACUAGUGAAGCAUCCUGUUAAGUCAGGCAACGAGCGAGACCCACGCCAACAGUUGCCAGCAUGUCCUCCGGGAUGAUGGGGACACUGUUGGGACCGCCUCUGCUAAAGAGGAGGAAGGAAUGGGCAACGGUAGGUCAGCAUGCCCCGAAUUAUCCGGGCUACACGCGGGCUACAAUGGUCAGGACAAUGGGUAUCGACACCGAGAGGUGGAGGCAAUCUCCUAAACCUGUCCUUAGUUCGGAUUGUGGGCUGCAACUCGCCCACAUGAAGCUGGAAUCCGUAGUAAUCGCGUUUCAAAAUAGCGCGGUGAAUAUGUCCCUGCUCCUU
rnacentral:rRNA from 1 species